GCGUCCCGUCGUCGAUGCACAACGUGAUUCUCUGAGGAAGGAGGAUGAAGCAGCACUGGGACAGAACACAGGCGAUGUCCUACAGAGGGUUGGAAAGCUCCUGCAAGGACAGCUGUCCGAAGCCACUGCAGAAGAUCGGGAAAGCAUACUGAAUGCCUUGAAGACUGUUGAUACGGCCGUCUUGGAUCCAAAUGAAACUGAGCAGUACUUCUUUCUCAUUCUCUUCAAGGCAUUAAUUGCAACAGCUAUCACUGCCGGUGUGUCAACUGGUGUAGGCCUUGAAGUGGACAAAGCGUUGAAGAAGGGCUUCAGGAAAAGGGGCUAAGGAAGAUGAUUUGCGUGUCUGACCGAGCAAAUAAAGAAUUAUUCAAACAAA